UGGGGAAUAUUGGACAAUGGGCGCAAGCCUGAUCCAGCAACGCCGCGUGGAGGAUGACGGCCUUCGGGUUGUAAACUCCUGUCAGGUGGAACGAAAAGCUUCGGCCAACAACCGGAGUCUAUGACGGUACCACCAGAGGAAGCCCCGGCUAACUCCGUGCCAGCAGCCGCGGUAAUACGGAGGGGGCAAGCGUUAUUCGGAAUCAUUGGGCGUAAAGGGCGCGUAGGCGGCAUGGCAAGUCAGUGGUGAAAUCCCUCGGCUCAACCGAGGAAUUGCCUUUGAAACUGCCAAGCUUGAGACCGGGAGAGGGUAGUGGAAUUCCCAGUGUAGCGGUGAAAUGCGUAGAUAUUGGGAGGAACACCAGUGGCGAAGGCGGCUACCUGGACCGGAUCUGACGCUGAGGCGCGAAAGUGUGGGGAGCAAACAGGAUUAGAUACCCCCGUAGUCC
rnacentral:rRNA from 1 species